CAGUUCUCAGAGCCACCGGGGUGCAGGGCCCGGGGUCCUCGUGUCCCUGGGGAAGAGGCCAUGCCUCCAGGGCCGUGCUGUGACCGGCACGAAUCAACCAAGUGACCCCGUGUCUGCAUUGCCGCCUGGGGUCCCAGAAGGACACGUGACAGACAGACGGGCCUCCAGCCGCCCGCUGGGCUGGGAGGAGGCUCUACUGCAGCUGCAACAAAGCAUGGCUCAUAGACGCCACUGUGAACAAGGCACCUUGGGAGACCUGGAGGCAAGUGUCCUUGUGUCCUGAGAACCUAACCUUCGUCUUGAAAGCAGCUGUGAUUCUGAUAAGGCCUCCGAAUGGCUAAUGUGUCGCCCUGGCAAUAAAAUUUAAAUCAAUGUCUUUGUUUUCUUGAA